AGUGAUUUCAGCUUUUGUUUCAAAAACUCUUUAGAGGCAAUGUUUUUCAACUAAACAUUUUUUUCUUUUUCUUUAUCUUUCUGGGAUGGUGAGUACACCUUACUAUGUUACUGAUACUAAUGGAACCAUUUAUUUGUCAAACUGACCUAGCAGAGAUCUGAUAAGCUGUGAACUACUUUGCCUAUGUAAUGGUAGGCUCCACUCAACCAAACAUUCUGAGCUGUGUGUUUCCUUCACAGCGGUUGAGUACUUCAUGGAGUCAGGUGUUUACUGAUCUGCAGCUUCAGCUUGCUCAUUCCUUUGUAGGAGAGGACAGCUACACACCAAAGGAGCCCAAGGAAAAGUGCAAUAGACUCCACUUUCAGAAUAAAAGAGCUGUGGGACGGCUGCCAAAGUGGUGUCAGCAGGAAUAGAAGAGUCUCUUGGAAGCUCCAACCAGCAUACCACAAACUCAUUACAGUGUAGGAUGGAAAACAGUGAUUUUUAACACUUUGCUUUUCCCUCUUCUUGUUGGAGAAGAAAAAGUGGACUGUUACCUUCACAGAAUCCAUGGCACCUUUAUGCUUUAUGCCUGCUGGUCUAAUUUUGACAAGAAGUAAAUUAUCUGAGCAAAGGCUUCUGUUUUCCAGAUGAUGACUCCGAGUCUGGUUAACGGUUCUUUAUGUGGAAGCCAUUCAGCCUCUCUGUGCCUCCCAUGGUUUAUUAUAUAUAUUUUUAUUAUUAAGGGGAAGUGCUACACAUAUUAUUCACAGUGAGAAGGGUUGUAUAAACUCCUGUGUUCUCUGUCUACCUCAUAAUUUGGAUUACUCCCUUUAACUGCUAGCUGUGCUGAGUCCUGAAGGGAUUCAUGGCUUCUCACCAACUACACUCAAGAAACACAUGUCAAAUUAGUGCUGUUUGUUGUCAGUGACCUUCUGAGUCCAUCCAUGCCGAGGGAGUCAAUUACCUGUUUUAGGGGGAAAAGUAGUACCUGGAACUGCAGUUUCUUCCCUAGAUAACUUCUCAGCCUUCCUUGAGAAGGAUAGAUGGCUUGUUCAGCAUACUCAUCAGGAACUUUGGAGAAUACUUCUACAUGGGGCUUGAAGCAGAAGCUGAAAGAAAAACUGCUUUAAUCACAACCUCUAGCAAUUGUGAGUCAUCCCCUACAGAACAAAAGAAAAGGUAAUAUUACUUUCUUUUAACAAUAACAUGCAUCAAGGCAUGAAGAUUUAAGAAGCAAUAAAAUUAAUGACUGGCUCCGAAAUGCAGAAGAGCACAUCCCCAGAAUUCAAAGCAUCGGUCCAUUGCUCAUACAAAACAUAAGGAACUGCAGCUGGAAAAGUUUUGACCCACAAAUCCUCAGCACCGACUCUCAGCAAUGGUCAUGUGGAUUUCCAACAUACAUGGAGCAUUAGAUAUACUUAACAGCUGACGUCAUAUUGGUAAGAUUUUUAAAAUCGUUGUUCUGAAGUGACAUGAAUCUUUAGGUGAGGUUUUAAGGCAGUAAAAAAACUUUUCCAGUUAACUCUAGCAUAUACCAAUGCCUAGUUUUCAUCAUAUGAACAGAUCUACCGAGGUCAAUGGGACCAUGCGCACAUGUGAAGUGAUGCAUCUACUAUAGAGCCUGCAGAAAUCCUAGUAAUAACUUGCCAUAAUUUAGCUUUUUAAGUUAGUGGCUGUAGCAGAGAGUCAAAGAAAAAAAAAGCAUUUAAAUUCUGAUUUUUUAAUGUUAACCUACCCUAGACUUAAAUGCUUGAGUCUCAUUUGUAUUAAAUAUUAGGACUAAAAGAAGUAUACAUUUGUAUCCAAAUUGUUUAAUCUUCAUUCCCUAAAGAAACAUUUCCACCCAAUAAUUCAGAAAACUUUUUUCUUAUAAAUUCUAGAAAUCUUUAUAGGAAAGGACUUUUAUAUGACUUACUUUUUCAUAUCCUGGAAACUGUUAAU